GAUAUGAAACUGUUCUCUGCAAUUUGCUUGCUAACUAAGCAUCAGGGAGAAUUGAGAGUCAGGAUCUAAAAUGAGGAAGAACGGAGGAGAACGGGAAUGUGUUCAUUUCAAUAUCUAUAAACAACGGUGAGUGACAAUUGCUCAGUUUAUUUGAUCAAAUUGAUAAAUACAGAGACUCUCCCCUACAAAUUGCUUGCUUCCAUGCAUCUCAAAAAGGAACAACGGGAUGGGAGAAUCCGGAAUCAGGAUCUAGAAUGAGGAAUAACGGAGGGAGAAUGGAAAGGUGUUCAUUUCAAUAUCUAUAAAUGGCGACAAUUGCUCGGACUAUUUGAUUGAGUUGAUAGAUACGGAACUACCUGCAAAUUAUGCAUCAAAAAAAGGAAGAGCGGAAUGGGAUAAUCCAGAGUCAGGAUUCAGAAUGAAGAAGAACGAAGUCCUGUGAAUUGCUUCUCCUGGUCCUCUAAUAUAAUUGACAAGGAAAAUCAUCCAGUUUUUCAAGACCGUUGUUUCUCACACACUGAGCAUGAUCUGCAUGGUAUCAAGUAUUAAUCAGUAUAGAAGAGCUCAAAAACUUCACGGGAUUAUACUGGAAAGAUUACAAAAUAUUGUUGGAACAUAUGAGAAAGAUCAAAUAGGUACUCACAUUUAUGGUUACACUGACAACAAAUGAGAAGGGUGUUAUCUGUAAAUUGUUUUCUGUUUUUAUCAAAUCUGCUCUCACCACACACUUUACAACAGCAUGAUGGGCAAAACCAGUCACCAUCUGGAACCUCCUGUUUAAACAAAUGCAAAAUAAAGCAAUUGGCUUUUUGAUUGAA